GAUGAAGAACGUAGCGAAAUGCGAUAAGUAGUGUGAAUUGCAGAAUUCAGUGAAUCAUCGAAUCUUUGAACGCACAUUGCGCCCUUUGGUAUUCCUUAGGGCAUGCCUGUUCGAGCGUCAUUUACCCCCUCAAGCUCCGCUUGGUGUUGGGCGUCUGUCCCGCUUCGCGCGCGGACUCGCCCCAAAGGUAUUGGCAGCGGUCGUGCCAGCUUCUCGCGCAGCACAUUGCGCUUCUCGAGGCACCGGUGGGCCCGCGUCCAUCAAGCUCACCCCCCCAGUUUGACCUCGGAUCAGGUAGGGAUACCCGCUGAACUUAAGCAUAUCAAUAAGCGGAGGA
rnacentral:misc_RNA from 1 species